CAAUAGCGUAUAUUUAAGUUGCUGCAGUUAAAAAGCUCGUAGUUGGAUUUCGGGUGGGAAUGGCCGGUCCGCCGUUUCGGUGUGCACUUGCUACGCCCACCUUGCUGCCGGGGACGUGCUCUUGAGUUCACGCUCGAGACACGGAGUCGGCGAGGUUACUUUGAGUAAAUUAGAGUGUUCAAAGCAGGCCUACGCUCUGAAUACAUUAGCAUGGAAUAACACGAUAGGACUCUGGCCUAUCUUGUUGGUCUGUAGGACCGGAGUAAUGAUUAAGAGGGACAGUCGGGGGCAUUCGUAUUUCAUUGUCAGAGGUGAAAUUCUUGGAUUUAUGAAAGACGAACUACUGCGAAAGCAUUUGCCAAGGAUGUUUUCAUUAA
rnacentral:rRNA from 1 species